UACAGAGGGGCAAGCGUUGUUCGGAAUUACUGGGCGUAAAGGGCGCGUAGGCGGCCUUCUAAGUCGAACGUGAAAUCCCCGGGCUCAACCCGGGAACUGCGUCCGAUACUGGAAGGCUUGAAUCCGGGAGAGGGAUGUGGAAUUCCAGGUGUAGCGGUGAAAUGCGUAGAUAUCUGGAGGAACACCGGUGGCGAAGGCGACAUCCUGGACCGGUAGUUGACGCUGAGGCGCGAAAGCCAGGGGAGCAAAGCGGG
rnacentral:rRNA from 1 species